rnacentral:rRNA from 1 species
ACCAUGCACCGAAGCUGCGGCAGCGACACUGUGUGUUGUUGGGUAGGGGAGCGUUCUGUAAGCCUGUGAAGGUGGCCUGUGAGGGUUGCUGGAGGUAUCAGAAGUGCGAAUGCUGACAUAAGUAACGAUAAAGCGGGUGAAAAGCCCGCUCGCCGGAAGACCAAGGGUUCCUGUCCAACGUUAAUCGGGGCAGGGUGAGUCGACCCCUAAGGCGAGGCCGAAAGGCGUAGUCGAUGGGAAACGGGUUAAUAUUCCCGUACUUGGUGUUACUGCGAAGGGGGGACGGAGAAGGCUAUGUUGGCCGGGCGACGGUUGUCCCGGUUUAAGCGUGUAGGUGUGUGUUCCAGGUAAAUCCGGUUCACUUUAACACUGAGGCGUGAUGACGAGGCACUACGGUGCUGAAGCAACAAAUGCCCUGCUUCCAGGAAAAGCCUCUAAGCAUCAGGUAACAUCAAAUCGUACCCCAAACCGACACAGGUGGUCAGGUAGAGAAUACCAAGGCGCUUGAGAGAACUCGGGUGAAGGAACUAGGCAAAAUGGUGCCGUAACUUCGGGAGAAGGCACGCUGACACGUAGGUGAAGUGAUUUACUCAUGGAGCUGAAGUCAGUCGAAGAUACCAGCUGGCUGCAACUGUUUAUUAAAAACACAGCACUGUGCAAACACGAAAGUGGACGUAUACGGUGUGACGCCUGCCCGGUGCCGGAAGGUUAAUUGAUGGGGUCAGCGCAAGCGAAGCUCCUGAUCGAAGCCCCGGUAAACGGCGGCCGUAACUAUAACGGUCCUAAGGUAGCGAAAUUCCUUGUCGGGUAAGUUCCGACCUGCACGAAUGGCGUAAUGAUGGCCAGGCUGUCUCCACCCGAGACUCAGUGAAAUUGAACUCGCUGUGAAGAUGCAGUGUACCCGCGGCAAGACGGAAAGACCCCGUGAACCUUUACUAUAGCUUGACACUGAACAUUGAGCCUUGAUGUGUAGGAUAGGUGGGAGGCUUUGAAGUGUGGACGCCAGUCUGCAUGGAGCCGACCUUGAAAUACCACCCUUUAAUGUUUGAUGUUCUAACGUGGACCCGUAAUCCGGGUUGCGGACAGUGUCUGGUGGGUAGUUUGACUGGGGCGGUCUCCUCCUAAAGAGUAACGGAGGAGCACGAAGGUUGGCUAAUCCUGGUCGGACAUCAGGAGGUUAGUGCAAUGGCAUAAGCCAGCUUGACUGCGAGCGUGACGGCGCGAGCAGGUGCGAAAGCAGGUCAUAGUGAUCCGGUGGUUCUGAAUGGAAGGGCCAUCGCUCAACGGAUAAAAGGUACUCCGGGGAUAACAGGCUGAUACCGCCCAAGAGUUCAUAUCGACGGCGGUGUUUGGCACCUCGAUGUCGGCUCAUCACAUCCUGGGGCUGAAGUAGGUCCCAAGGGUAUGGCUGUUCGCCAUUUAAAGUGGUACGCGAGCUGGGUUUAGAACGUCGUGAGACAGUUCGGUCCCUAUCUGCCGUGGGCGCUGGAGAACUGAGGGGGGCUGCUCCUAGUACGAGAGGACCGGAGUGGACGCAUCACUGGUGUUCGGGUUGUCAUGCCAAUGGCACUGCCCGGUAGCUAAAUGCGGAAGAGAUAAGUGCUGAAAGCAUCUAAGCACGAAACUUGCCCCGAGAUGAGUUCUCCCUGAGACUUUAGGUCUCCUGAAGGAACGUUGAAGACGACGACGUUGAUAGGCCGGGUGUGUAAGCGCAGCGAUGCGUUGAGCUAACCGGUACUAAUGAACCGUGAGGCUUAACCUUACAACGCCGAAG